GACGAACGCUGGCGGCGUGCUUAACACAUGCAAGUCGAACGGAAAGGCCCUGCUUUUGUGGGGUGCUCGAGUGGCGAACGGGUGAGUAACACGGGAGUAACCUGCCCUUGACUUUGGGAUAACUUCAGGAACCUGGGGCUAAUACCGGAUAGAACCUCCUGCUGCAUGGUGGGGGUUGGAAAGUUUCGGCGGUUGGGGAUGGACUCGCGGCUUAUCAGCUUGUUGGUGGGGUAGUGGCUUACCAAGGCUUUGACGGGUAGCCGGCCUGAGAGGGUGACCGGCCACAUUGGGACUGAGAUACGGCCCAGACUCCUACGGGAGGCAGCAGUGGGGAAUAUUGCACAAUGGGCGGAAGCCUGAUGCAGCAACGCCGCGUGCGGGAUGACGGCCUUCGGGUUGUAAACCGCUUUCGCCUGUGACGAAGCGUGAGUGACGGUAAUGGGUAAAGAAGCACCGGCUAACUACGUG
rnacentral:rRNA from 1 species